CCUACGGGUGGCUGCAGUGAGGAAUAUUGGUCAAUGGGCGGGAGCCUGAACCAGCCAAGUCGCGUGAGGGAAGACGGUCCUAUGGAUUGUAAACCUCUUUAGGCGGGGAGCAAUGCCGGGCACGUGUGCCCGGAGGGCGAGUACCCGCAGCAUAAGCAUCGGCUAACUCCGUGCCAGCAGCCGCGGUAAUACGGAGGAUGCGAGCGUUAUCCGGAUUUAGUGGGUUUACGGGGUGCGUAGGCGGAUUUUUAAGUCAGCGGUAAAAUGUCCGGGCUCAACCCGGGCCGGCCGUUGAAACUGGUGAUCGUGAGUGGGCGAGAAGUAUGCGGAAUGCGUGGUGUAGCGGUGAAAUGCAUAGAUAUCUGGAGGAACAUCAGUGGCGAAGGCGACUAUCUGGCACAUAACUGACGCUGAGGAGCGAAAGCGUGGGUAGCAAACAGGAUUAGAUACCCCUGUAGUC
rnacentral:rRNA from 1 species